CUCCACGCAAUUAUUAUUUCUACUGCUACUGUUUUCCUUAUUAUAAGCCCCAGUACAGUAGUAAAACAAGUAUUCAGAGCGUAGCAAUAUUGUGGUUUGAAAUAGGCCUACUCCAUUUCAAGGUCUGCAUCUAUAAGUAAAAGUUGCAGGUGGGCUGAGCACCUCGUGUGUAUGGAGCUGGUCAUCCUUAUUGAUUUCUGUUGGGAGGAGGAGUCCCAUACAUCAUGGCUAACUCGCUGCAUCCCCGGCGUAGAAAGCAAGCAACACAAUGAAGUAAAGCAAUUUGAACACUGAGCCCCAGUUUGACCUUUGAUUAUGAGAGGAAUACAGCGGUGCUCAUAUCCCAGGCCUCUCAGUUCCCUCUCAA
rnacentral:lncRNA from 1 species